rnacentral:rRNA from 1 species
UACGUAGGGGGCGAGCGUUGUCCGGAUUUACUGGGCGUAAAGCGCGUGUAGGCGGAAGCCUAAGUCCGAUCUGAAAGCCCCUGGCUCAACCAGGGAUCCGGACCGGAAACUGGGCUUCUUGAGGACGGCAGGGGAGUGUGGAAUUCCUGGUGUAGCGGUGAAAUGCGUAGAGAUCAGGAGGAACACCAAUGGCGAAGGCAGCUCGCUGGGACGGUACUGACGCUGAGACGCGAAAGCGUGGGGAGCAAACAGG